UUUUUAUUGAGAGUUUGAUCCUGGCUCAGGACGAACGCUGGCGGUAUGCUUAACACAUGCAAGUCGAACGAGACGAGAUGGAAUGACCCUUCGGGGGAAUGAAAUCUUAGAAAGUGGCGAACGGGUGAG
rnacentral:rRNA from 1 species